rnacentral:rRNA from 1 species
CGGUUCUAUCAUACCAGCACUAAUGCACCGGAUCCAAUCAGAACUCCGAAGUUAAACGUGCUUUGGCGAGAGUAGUACUAAGAUGGGUGACCUCUUGGGAAGUCCUCGUGUUGCACCCC